UGACCGAGUCAUCCUUGAUGUAAGCCC
rnacentral:sRNA from 1 species